UACGGGGGAAGCAAGCGUUGUUCGGAUUUACUGGGCGUAAAGGGCGCGUAGGCGGCCAGCACAAGUCAGUUGUGAAAUCUCCGAGCUUAACUCGGAACGGUCAACUGAUACUGUGCGGCUAGAGUGCGGAAGGGGCAACUGGAAUUCUUGGUGUAGCGGUGAAAUGCGUAGAUAUCAAGAGGAACACCUGCGGCGAAGGCGGGUUGCUGGGCCGACACUGACGCUGAGGCGCGAAAGCCAGGGGAGCGAACGGG
rnacentral:rRNA from 1 species